AGCAGCUUAAAUCAGCCACAGAAGUUUUUCUUGUGUGGAUUUUAGCUAUUCCUCUUCAAACUCUAAGUUGUACAAUCAAGCCACUCCAGUCUCUGUUGGGAUAGUCAGAGAGGUUGACUGACUGGUGUGAAAUUUGGUCCCAAGAGCCUCUUCAUCAUCCUCCUUCAGCUUGAAUAUCAGGAAGGCAGAAAUAAGCUACAUGUAAUGUGGGCAUCAGGAAGGUGAAAGAGUGCAUUACAAUUGCAGACAGCAGUCUCCAGACAUUAAAAGAUGAGAGAAGGUGUAGGGAUGGUGGACUACCUGGACUCCCAAGUAAGAAAAACAAUCUCCCCCUGCAAGGAAUAACGUAAGGCCAUCAAAGGAUAAUAACCAACAUCCAUGCAACACCUGCCAGGUGCCAAACACUGGAUGGCCUCACCAGCCUCUUGGAAAAGGAAGAGAAAGAUGCAAUAAAGAAAGUCAGUUCUGGAAGCAGAAGACAGACCUUUCUCAGGAGUCCUUAGCAAGCUUCUCAUUGGUCUGAUUGAGCGACAUGCCUGUCCUGGACCAAUCACCAAAUGCCACCGCCUUCUUUCUGUGUCCAAGCAAGUUAUGAUUGGAAUGGAAAGUAUAGCCACUCAGGACUAUCAGUACUGCUCCCUCCUCAGUCGCAGACAUGUUGAUACAGAAC
rnacentral:lncRNA from 13 species